GGGCUAUUAGCUCAGCGGUAGAGCGCUCCCCUGAUAAGGGAGAGGUCGCUGGUUCAAGUCCAGCAUAGCCCA
rnacentral:tRNA from 1 species